CCGCUGGUCAGAGACUCUGUAAAGCUGAGUUUGCGGAAGGACGUCUCCACGCCACUGUCACAGAUGCUGUCAUCUCGGAGCUCAUCUGAGUGGGGAGCAAGCACAGAGUCACUGAGGAACAGUGGGACUAAGGAACGCCUGCCAGACAAGGGACACUGGUGCUGAAAGUGAAUGAGAAUGGACUGGAGAGAGAUUGGCACCGGGGAAACUGAUUAGGAGCUGCUGCAGGAGUCAAGGCAAGAAAUGAAGGUGGAUGGACGAGAGCAGCUAUCACAGAGAGGAAGGACCUGGGCUGAUGAGCGGUGGUAGGAGCAUUCUAGAAAUGAGAGCAUCGCGUCCCAGAGAGCUCCUGACACGUGGCCAAGGCCCAGUCUCAGACAGGAAGAUGUGCGCCAUAUUGAUCACAGUCUAGCGCUUGUCCCGUAACAACCCUGACCUCCCAAUGACAUUAUUACAGGAAAUCUCAAGGUAUCUGAAAACAGCCUUGUUAGGAAGGUGGGUUCCAUCCUGGCCUGGUGCGCCUCCAGGGUGAGGACUGAUUCCUUCCUCAAGGGGGAAGAGGGAAGGGAACUGUGCCAGGUCAGUGGUAUCGAAUGAAGAUGGUCAAGGACCUCAGGUGAUG